rnacentral:rRNA from 1 species
UACGAGAGGCCCAAACGUUAUUCGGAUUUACUGGGCUUAAAGAGUUCGUAGGCGGCGCAGAAAGUAGGGUGUGAAAGCCCACGGCUCAACCGUGGAGGGUCAUUGGAAACUGGGGGACUUGAGUGCAGAAGAGGAAAGCGGAAUUCCACGUGUAGCGGUGAAAUGCGUAGAGAUGUGGAGGAACACCAGUGGCGAAGGCGGCCAACUGGUCCGGAUCUGACGCUGAGGCGCGAAAGCGUGGGGAGCAAACAGG